CAGGGAUUGCCCUAGGUAACGGCGAGUGAAGCGGCAACAGCUCAAAUUUGAAAGCUGGCUCCGGCCCGCAUUGUAAUUUGCAGAGGAUGCUUUUGGCGAGGUGCCUUCCGAGUUCCCUGGAACGGGACGCCAUAGAGGGUGAGAGCCCCGUAUGGAUGGACACCAAACCUGUGUAAAGCUCCUUCAACGAGUCGAGUAGUUUGGGAAUGCUGCUCUAAAUGGGAGGUAAAUCUCUUCUAAAGCUAAAUACCGGCCAGAGACCGAUAGCGCACAAGUAGAGUGAUCGAAAGAUGAAAAGCACCUUGAAAAGGGGGUUAAACAGUACGUGAAAUUGUUGAAAGGGAAGCAUUUAUGACCAGACUUGCGCCGGGCAGCUCAUCAGGGGUUCUCCCCUGUGCACUCUGCCCGGCUCAGGCCAGCAUCGGUUCUCGUGGGAGGAUAAGAACAGUGGGAACGUGGCCCCCCUCCGGGGGGGUGUUAUAGCCCAUUGUACGAUACUCUCGUGGGGACCGAGGUUCGCGCUCCGCAAGGAUGCUGGCGUAAUGGUCAUCAAUGACCCGUCUUGAAACACGGACCAAGGAGUCGUCCAUUAGAGCGAGCGUUUGGGUGUAAAACCCGCACGCGUAAUGAAAGUGAACGCAGGUGAGAGCUUCGGCGCAUCAUCGACCGAUCCUGAUGUCUUCGGAUGGAUUUGAGUAAGAGUUUUAACGGRCGGACCCGAAAGACAGUGAACUAUGCUUGUAUAGGGUGAAGCCAGAGGAAACUCUGGUGGAGGCUCGCAGCGGUUCUGACGUGCAAAUCGAUCGUCAAAUAUGAGCAUGGGGGCGAAAGACUAAU
rnacentral:rRNA from 1 species